AACAACAAAAAAUCCAGUAGAGCCCCAGGAGGAAAGGAAUUUGGCUUUUUAGCUGAGUAGUGAAAAGGCAAGCUGGCAAUUGCCCUUUGGCUCUGCCAGGGAAGGUCAGAGAAAGGCCUCCCCAGUGAUGGAGAGGGGAAGGAAGUGAGGGGGAGAAAAAACAGUGGAGAGAUAAACAAGCCUUGGCUGGAAGGAGGAGAGAGAAGCCCCCUCUGAAGGUACCUAGGGGUAUUAAAAGGGGGAAGUUAACAGUGAGAACAAAUAAUAAAGAUUCUUAUAUGUAGCCAAGGUUUGCUCUUUGUGUACUCUGAGACUACCAUACGUAAAGGCUGGUGUUUGAACUUGGCUCCUAGCAGUGGCAGCUUGUUAGGGAAGAGUUCUGGCUCGGGAGGCAGGAGAUCAGGCUUCUGGUCUAGCUCUGCCAUUAACCGGCUCUGGAGCCUGGGCCGCAGUGUCCCAUAUUUCAGUUGGGCUGGAGGUUUCCCUAGGAUCACCAGCUGUCAUGGACUGAUUUGUGUCUCUCCAAAUUCAUAUGUUGAAUACUUAACCUGCCAUGCGAUUGUGAUUGGAGAUAAUUCCUUUAGGGAAGCAAUGAAGGUUAAAUGAGGUCAUAGGUGGGAGCUUAAUCCAAUGGGACUGGGGUCCCUACAAGAAGAGGAAGACACCAGAGCUCUCUGUCUCCACACACAGAGAAAAGAGGCUGUAUGAGGACACAAGAGAAGGUAAUAGCUGUCUACAAACCAAGAAGAGAAGCCUCUCCAGAAAAUGAACCCUGCUGGAACUUGGUCUUGGACUUUCCAGCCUCCAGAACUGGGAGAAAAUAAAGUUCAAAAUAAAGUUCUGUUGUGUA
rnacentral:lncRNA from 1 species